rnacentral:lncRNA from 1 species
AUGGGUACAAAGAAUGUUAUCUAAGAAGAUUUAUCUUUGAUGUAGACAGCUUGAGCAGGAUCAACUAAAGUAUCCAUAAAAUGCUGUAAUUGAUUAGCAAGCACCUUUGAGAUAAUUUUAAUAUAACUAUGAAUAUGGCUAAUGAGUUUAAAAUCUAAUGGAUGAGAUGCUACCUCCUUCUUGGAUAUAAAAGAGAUCAAUGCGUAGUUGAGUCUAGAGAAAUCAAGAUUAUGAUCAUAG